rnacentral:tRNA from 1 species
GCUCAAAUGGCGGAAUGGCAGACGCAGUAGACUCAAAAUCUACCGGUUUUAUCACCUUAAGGGUUCAAGUCCCUUUUUGAGCACCA